UUCAUGUCUUUUGUAUUAAAGAAUUAAAUGGAUGAAAUAUGAAAUUUUAUUAAAAGAAAAAGGGGUGAAAAGAACAAAGUUUUGUCCAUCUUUGUUCAUCAUAGCCUAAAGUUAGAGAAGAGAAAGGAGAGGAGAAAGCUCUUGAAUGUUCAGUCACUUGGGGAAGAAAAUUGAAGGUGGUCCGUGUGUGGAUCUCGUCAGCAUAUCGUCGCAAACAGGGACUAAAUUGGAGGCGAAAAGUAAAUUCAAGGGAAAAGCGUCAAUUUGGAGAUUAAAUGGGCCAAUAUGCAACGUGGGACAAAUAUGGUGCCAAAAGUGCGAACAUGGAAGGCACAAGGACUUAAAAGCAAA